GGGCUAGAGAAGGCUGGAGGAGGCCAGGGAAGGUCAGAGGAGGCUGGAGAAGGCUGGAGGAGGCUGUAGAAGGCUGAGCUAGAGAAGGCUGGAGGAUGCUGGAGGAGGCCUCCGCGCAGGGAGGGGCUGCUCUUCAGGCCACAGUUGAGCCUUGAGUUAGAGAAGAGAAGAAUUAAAGGGGAGAGAAUCAAAAUCAAUAAAAUCAGGUGUGGUGGAGAUGGGAGGCCCCUGCUUAAUGCUAAAAUCACAGGUCUCUGUGAAAAUCAAUAACGGCCCCAAAGAUAAAUGCACAAUGGACAUUAACUGGCCAAUCCCAAAGGAAGAAACAAAAAAGGCCAAUAAGCAUAUAAGAAAAUGUGAAGGCCAGGAGCAGUGGCUCACGCCUGUAAUCCCAGCAAUUUGGGAGGCCAAGGUGGGCAGAUCACUGGAGCUCAGGAGUUUGAGACCAGCCUGGGUAACAUGGUAAAACCCCAUCUCUAUGUGAAAUACAAAAAUUAGGCCGGGUGCAGUGGCUCACGCCUAUAAUCCCAGCACUUUGGGAGGCCGAGGUGGGUGGAUCACUUGAGCUCAGGAGUUCGAGACCAGCCUGGGCAACAUGGUGAAACCCCAUCUCUACAUAAAAUGCAAAAAAUAGCCAUGGAUAGUGGCAUGGGGCUGUAGUCCAAGCUACUCAGGAGGCUGAGAUAGGAGGAUGGCUUGAGCCUGGUGUUAGGUUUUUUUAAAGGGAAGGCGAGGGUUAAAGAAAGACAGAGAGAGAGAGGGCGUCUCUACAGCAACAGAGGUAUAGUGCAGAAACCUACAGAGGGGGGACCAGCUUAAUGCCAGAGCCCACCGCCGCUUACAGGCUGGGGUACUUACAGGCCUGGACGGGAGGGGUUUGGGCAGUAGGGCUUCUGCCUGGGAAGAUGUUGAGAGAUGUUCCCAUGAUGAGGCAGUUGGGUCCUUGUUCCCAGCAGAAUAUGAUCAGGAUGUUCCUUCAGCUGGGCCUUUGCCCAGCAAGGUAUGUUCGGGAUGUUCCUGGGCCGUGUGGUCGGGUGGUCGGGAUGUUCCUGGGCCGUGUGGUCAGGAUGUUGGGCAGGAUGUUCCUCACAGCCCAAACCCCGUGGAAUGUUUCACUUCAACCUGGGUCUGGAAAACAGCAGGGGGCUUACAAAAUGGUGCAGUUUGGAUUAACACCCAGGACCCAGAGGCUGCAGUGAGCUGAGAUGGCGCCACUGCACUCCAACCUGGGCAACAGAGCCAGAGCCUGUCUCAAAAGAAAAGGAAAGAAAGAAAGAAAA